rnacentral:rRNA from 1 species
CAAUAGCGUAUAUUAAAGUUGUUGCAGUUAGAACGCUCGUAGUCGGAUUUCGGGGCGGGCCGACCGGUCUGCCGAUGGGUACGCACUGGUCGGCGCGUCCUUCCUUCCGGAGACCGUGCCUACUCUUAACUGAGCGGGGGCAGGAGACGGAUCGUUUACUUUGAAAAAAUCAGAGUGUUUCAAGCAGGCAGCUCGCUCUUGCAUGGAUUAGCAUGGGAUAAUGAAAUAGGACUUUGGUGCUAUUUUGUUGGUUUCGAACACCGAAGUAAUGAUUAAAAGGGACAGUCAGGGGCACUCGUAUUCCGCCGAGAGAGGUGAAAUUCUCAGACCAGCGGAAGACGAACCACUGCGAAAGCAUUUGCCAGGGAUGUUUUCACUGA